GCUUUUUAAUUCCCUCGGUUUCCUGUUCCGGAGGCGCGGGCGGUGCCACUGUCUUGGUACCUGCAGUAGUAGCCUGGCUUUGCUCUGACGGCGAUCUCGCGGCCCGAGAGCCUUUUAUAGGUUGCUUUUCCUGGGGAUAUGAAGGAUACAGAAAUGACUGUGAAUCAACCCAUAUCAUCAAGGAGCUGAUAAUCUAGUGGAGGAGUUAGACAUGUGCAUACUUCAUUAUGAUAUGAGGCAGUCUCUGAGCUUAUAUUCUCUGUGGAAGAUGUGACAUAUCCAGGCGGAACAUCAUGAUGCAGGGCAACACAUGUCACAGAAUGUCGUUCCACCCGGGACGAGGGUGUCCCCGAGGACGAGGAGGACAUGGAGCCAGACCCUCAGCACCAUCCUUUAGGCCCCAAAAUCUGAGGCUGCUUCACCCUCAGCAGCCUCCUGUGCAAUAUCAAUAUGAACCUCCAAGUGCCCCUUCCACCACUUUCUCGAACUCUCCAGCCCCCAAUUUUCUCCCUCCACGACCAGACUUUGUACCCUUCCCCCCGCCCAUGCCUCCGUCAGCGCAAGGCCCUCUUCCCCCCUGCCCAAUCAGGCCGCCUUUCCCCAACCACCAGAUGAGGCACCCCUUCCCAGUUCCUCCUUGUUUUCCUCCCAUGCCACCACCAAUGCCUUGUCCUAAUAACCCCCCAGUCCCUGGGGCACCUCCUGGACAAGGCACUUUCCCCUUCAUGAUGCCCCCUCCCUCCAUGCCUCAUCCCCCGCCCCCUCCAGUCAUGCCGCAGCAGGUUAAUUAUCAGUACCCUCCGGGCUAUUCUCACCACAACUUCCCACCUCCCAGUUUUAAUAGUUUCCAGAACAACCCUAGUUCUUUCCUGCCCAGUGCUAAUAACAGCAGUAGUCCUCAUUUCAGACAUCUCCCUCCAUACCCACUCCCAAAGGCUCCCAGUGAGAGAAGGUCCCCAGAAAGGCUGAAACACUAUGAUGACCACAGGCACCGAGAUCACAGUCAUGGGCGAGGUGAGAGGCAUCGGUCCCUGGAUCGGCGGGAGCGAGGCCGCAGUCCCGACAGGAGAAGACAAGACAGCCGGUACAGAUCUGAUUAUGACCGAGGGAGAACACCAUCUCGCCACCGCAGCUACGAACGGAGCAGAGAGCGAGAACGGGAGAGACACAGGCAUCGAGACAACCGAAGAUCACCAUCUCUGGAAAGGUCCUACAAAAAAGAGUAUAAGAGAUCUGGAAGUCGCUCCCCAAGUAGGGAGAAGAAGAGAGCUCGUUGGGAGGAAGAAAAAGACCGAUGGAGUGACAACCAGAGUUCUGGCAAAGACAAGAACUAUACCUCAAUCAAGGAAAAAGAGCCCGAGGAGACCAUGCCUGACAAGAAUGAGGAGGAAGAAGAAGAACUUCUUAAGCCUGUGUGGAUUCGAUGCACUCAUUCAGAAAACUACUACUCCAGUGACCCCAUGGAUCAGGUGGGAGAUUCUACAGUGGUUGGAACGAGUAGGCUUCGUGACUUAUAUGACAAAUUUGAGGAGGAGUUGGGGAGCAGGCAAGAAAAGGCCAAAGCUGCUCGGCCUCCGUGGGAACCUCCAAAGACGAAGCUCGAUGAAGAUUUAGAGAGUUCCAGUGAAUCCGAGUGUGAGUCUGAUGAGGACAGCACCUGUUCUAGCAGCUCAGACUCUGAAGUUUUUGACGUUAUUGCAGAAAUCAAACGCAAAAAGGCCCACCCUGACCGACUUCAUGAUGAACUUUGGUACAACGAUCCAGGCCAGAUGAAUGAUGGACCACUCUGCAAAUGCAGCGCAAAGGCAAGACGCACAGGAAUUAGGCACAGCAUUUAUCCUGGAGAAGAGGCCAUCAAGCCCUGUCGUCCUAUGACCAACAAUGCUGGCAGACUUUUCCACUACCGGAUCACAGUCUCCCCGCCUACGAACUUUUUAACUGACAGGCCAACUGUUAUAGAAUACGAUGAUCACGAGUAUAUCUUUGAAGGAUUUUCUAUGUUUGCACAUGCCCCCCUGACCAAUAUUCCACUGUGUAAAGUAAUUAGAUUCAACAUAGACUACACGAUUCAUUUCAUUGAAGAGAUGAUGCCGGAGAAUUUUUGUGUGAAAGGGCUUGAACUCUUUUCACUGUUCCUAUUCAGAGAUAUUUUGGAAUUAUAUGACUGGAAUCUUAAAGGUCCUUUGUUUGAAGACAGUCCUCCCUGCUGCCCAAGAUUUCAUUUCAUGCCACGUUUUGUAAGAUUUCUUCCAGAUGGAGGAAAGGAAGUGCUGUCCAUGCACCAGAUUCUCCUGUACUUGUUAAGGUGCAGCAAAGCCCUGGUGCCCGAGGAGGAGAUUGCCAAUAUGCUUCAGUGGGAGGAGCUGGAGUGGCAGAAAUAUGCAGAAGAAUGCAAAGGCAUGAUUGUUACCAACCCUGGGACGAAACCAAGCUCUGUCCGUAUCGAUCAACUGGAUCGUGAACAGUUCAACCCCGAUGUGAUUACUUUUCCGAUUAUCGUCCACUUUGGGAUACGCCCUGCACAGUACCAAAAACUGUGGAAGAGUUAUGUGAAACUUCGCCACCUCCUAGCAAAUAGUCCCAAAGUCAAACAAACUGACAAACAGAAGCUGGCACAGAGGGAGGAAGCCCUCCAAAAAAUACGGCAGAAGAAUACAAUGAGACGAGAAGUAACGGUGGAGCUAAGUAGCCAAGGAUUCUGGAAAACUGGCAUCCGUUCUGAUGUCUGUCAGCAUGCAAUGAUGCUACCUGUUCUGACCCAUCAUAUCCGCUACCACCAAUGCCUAAUGCAUUUGGACAAGUUGAUAGGAUAUACUUUCCAAGAUCGUUGUCUGUUGCAGCUGGCCAUGACUCAUCCAAGUCAUCAUUUAAAUUUUGGAAUGAAUCCUGAUCAUGCCAGGAAUUCGUUGUCUAACUGUGGAAUUCGGCAGCCCAAAUACGGAGACAGAAAAGUUCAUCACAUGCACAUGCGGAAGAAAGGGAUUAACACCUUGAUAAAUAUCAUGUCACGCCUUGGCCAAGAUGACCCAACUCCCUCAAGGAUUAACCACAAUGAACGGUUGGAAUUCCUGGGUGAUGCUGUUGUUGAAUUUCUAACCAGCGUCCAUUUGUACUAUUUGUUUCCUAGUCUGGAAGAAGGAGGAUUAGCAACCUAUCGGACUGCCAUUGUUCAGAAUCAGCACCUUGCCAUGCUAGCAAAGAAACUUGAACUGGAUCGAUUUAUGCUGUAUGCUCACGGGCCUGACCUUUGUAGAGAAUCGGACCUUCGACAUGCAAUGGCCAAUUGUUUUGAAGCAUUAAUAGGAGCUGUUUACUUGGAGGGAAGCCUGGAGGAAGCCAAGCAGUUAUUUGGACGCUUGCUCUUUAAUGAUCCGGACCUGCGCGAAGUCUGGCUCAAUUAUCCUCUCCACCCACUCCAACUACAAGAGCCAAAUACUGAUCGACAACUUAUUGAAACUUCUCCGGUUCUACAAAAACUUACUGAGUUUGAAGAAGCAAUUGGAGUAAUUUUUACUCAUGUUCGACUUCUGGCAAGGGCAUUCACAUUGAGAACUGUGGGAUUUAACCAUCUGACCCUAGGCCACAAUCAGAGAAUGGAAUUCCUAGGUGACUCCAUAAUGCAACUGGUAGCCACAGAGUACUUAUUCAUUCAUUUCCCAGAUCAUCAUGAAGGACACUUAACUUUGUUGCGAAGCUCUUUGGUGAAUAACAGAACUCAGGCCAAGGUAGCGGAGGAGCUGGGCAUGCAGGAGUACGCCAUAACCAACGACAAGACCAAGAGGCCCGUGGCGCUUCGCACCAAGACCUUGGCGGACCUUUUGGAAUGGGAUCUCAGGAUUGGUGUUGAAAAUGGCAAGACCCAAGAAUGUGCGUAUUCUGGCAUCAUAUCUAAUCUUCAAGUAAUAUUUUGACUUAUUUGAUGUGAACAGGGUUGGGUGCUCAGAUAGCAUUUUUUCCCUGAUAUACAGCGGCAUUCUGUGUACCUUUUAAGCUAUUCCUUUAGCCCUUAGCUAAAUGCAGUUUGGUGUUUGUACUCUAUGAUUUGCAUCUUACACAUCUCUUGCUGCUUCUGAUAUUAAUGAUAAAAAGUGGGGGAAGAUGAAACGGUAGCACUAAAAAACAAAGAGGGCCUGGAAGUUGAAACUAUUACUAAAAUUUUGCUUAAAAGUCUAGGUCUCUUACUCUUUCUGAUAGAUGGCAGUGAUUGUGGUUUAUUUUAAAGUAUUCUUUUUUCCCCAGCAUUUAUUGCAGCGCUGUACAUUGAUAAGGAUUUGGAAUAUGUUCAUACUUUCAUGAAUGUCUGCUUCUUUCCACGAUUGAAAGAGUUCAUUUUGAAUCAGGAUUGGAAUGACCCCAAAUCCCAGCUUCAGCAGUGUUGCUUGACACUUAGGACAGAAGGAAAAGAGCCAGACAUUCCUCUGUACAAGACUCUGCAGACAGUGGGCCCAUCCCAUGCCCGAACCUACACUGUGGCUGUUUAUUUCAAGGGAGAAAGAAUAGGCUGUGGGAAAGGACCAAGUAUUCAGCAAGCGGAAAUGGGAGCAGCAAUGGAUGCGCUUGAAAAAUAUAAUUUUCCCCAGAUGGCCCAUCAGAAGCGGUUCAUCGAACGGAAGUACAGACAAGAGUUAAAAGAAAUGAGGUGGGAAAGAGAGCAUCAAGAGAGAGAGCCAGAUGAGACUGAAGACAUCAAGAAAUAAAGGAGGGCAUGCAAGUGUGGAGUAUUUACUUGCUCAGUAACUGUGACUGUUGUCUAUUGAGACCUAGCCUGCAGACAAUGAAUGAAGUGUGCUCAUUGAAAUAAAAUACAGAGUCAAAUCGC